GACCCUGCCCGAGCCCACCUGGGCACCUGCACGAGCCCACCUGGUCACCCACUUUGCCCCCCGUGCAGGGACUCCCGGGGCCAGCUGGCGCAGAGGGGCAGAAGGUGAGUCCAGCCCACCUGUGGGUCCUGGCAUGGCAGCAGGGACACCUGGGAUGGUGGCAGAGGUACCAGGACCUGCCAGUCCCAACCUGGGUAGCUUGUGUGACACCACGGGUGGCUCCACAGGUGACAUCUGUCUGUCCUGCAGGGCCAGAAGGGCGAGAAGGGUGACGGGGGACUGCAGGGCAAGCCGGGGCGCCCCGGGCGUGACGUGAGUAGUGCUGGGUUGUACCUGGGCACCCCCUGAGCACCCCUGGGCAUCCCCCAGGCAGGGAGGUCUGGCCACAGGAGCCUUCACAUCCCACACCCCUCCUGGCAGGGCCGGCCUGGAGAGAUCUGCGUGGUGGGGCCCAAGGGCCAGAAGGUACCUGGGGGUUUGGGGGUGAUGGGGUGGCAGAUGGGGCACCUGGUGGCACUGCCAGCACUGCCACCUCCCCAUUGUCCUCCAGGGUGACCCGGGCCUCGUGGGACCUGAGGGGCUGGCGGGUGAACCAGGACCCCCAGGCAAGCCAGGCUCUCCAGGGAUUGGCAUUCCAGGGAAGCCGGGUGACCCCGGUGGCCCCCCAGGUGCGAAGGGAGAGAAGGGCAGCCCGGGAGCUCCUGGACCCGGAGGAUCGCCUGGGACACCCGGUCUCCCCGGAGUCCUGGGGCCGAAAGGAGACAAGGUGGGUACAGUGACAGGGUGGGUGCAGUGACAGGGUGGCUGGGAUGACAAGGUGGGUGCGGUG
rnacentral:lncRNA from 1 species